rnacentral:lncRNA from 1 species
UCAAGGGUUUCAUUUGUCCUCUUGAUUUUCGUUUGAUCAAGUGUCGAAUCAGGUAAGUGUAAGUGUCAUUUUGUUUAUUUUUACAAUGGUUCUUUGAUUCUUUUAUAUUUGGUUUUGACCCAAAUUCUUAUAGGUUUAGUAUGUUGUGAAAUUGAGUUUUCAAAUCGGUAGAAUAGAGGCGUAUCAAUCGAUAUUUGGUGCUUGGAAGCGCUUUUUCAGGUGUGUUUAUUGAAAACUUGUAGUCGGG